CUUGAAGGUUAUUGUUGAUAGAUGUGUUCGAAUCUUUGGAAGACAAUAUUAAAAAAGAGAAAUUCAAUAAUGAUAGACUUCACAAUGAGUGACAAACUUAUGUUUCUCAAAACAAGAGAAAUUGUGGGACCUAUUAAACAUCAUGAUGAUCAAGUUAUUAUUCCAGAAGAAGAUACCAUUGAUGGUGGCAGUGGCAGUGCUAGGAGAUUGGAAAGAUGUGAUGAACUUUGCAAGGGCUUAUUUCAAUAAAUAUUAUGUUAAACACAGGUAGAAGUGAUGAUAUUUUGAAGAUUAUGCAAGUUAAAAAUGUUGUCUAUGUAGUGUCAUGAAUUAUGGUAUAUUUUUUGUCUAUGUAAUGUAUUAGUUUAGUGUUGUAUUUUCUUUGUAUGUAAUGUCAGGAUUACUUGGUGUUGUAUCACUCGUAUUUUUAAAACUUGUUUAUAAUUUAUUGAAUGGAUAAAUGUUAUAUGAUAAAGUAGUAUGGAAAUGAUUUAAAUUUGGGAUUUGUACUGUGAAUCUGCAUGGCAAUAUUGUAUGUGAUGUUUCAAAUUAA
rnacentral:lncRNA from 1 species